UUCCGGUGUAGCGGUGAAAUGCGUAGAUAUCAGGAGGAACACAGUGGCGAAGGCGGCUCACUGGACCAUUACUGACGCUGAGGUGCGAAAGCUAGGGUAGCGAACGGGAUUAGAUACCCCGGUAGUCCUAGCCGUAAACGAUGGGUACUAGGUAGGGGGAGCGCCUAUGGUUCUCUCUACCGGAGCAAAUGUGUUAAGUACCCCGCCUGGGGAGUACGCUCGCAAGAGUAAAACUCAAAGGAAUUGACGGGGGAUCACACAAGCGGUGGAGCAUGUGGUUUAAUUCGAAGCAACGCGAAGAACCUUACCUGGCCUUGACAUGUACGGAUUAGUCCUGUGAAAGCAGGGUGACAGCCCUUCGGGGUCGGAACGUACACAGGUGUUGCAUGGCU
rnacentral:rRNA from 1 species